rnacentral:rRNA from 1 species
UACGAAGGGUGCAAACGUUGUUCGGAAUUACUGGGCGUAAAGGGCUCGUAGGUGGCCAACUAAGUCAGACGUGAAAUCCCUCGGCUUAACCGGGGAACUGCGUCUGAUACUGGAUGGCUUGAAUCCGGGAGAGGGAUGCAGAAUUCCAGGUGUAGCGGUGAAAUGCGUAGAUAUCUGGAGGAAUACCGGUGGCGAAGGCGGCAUCCUGGACCGGCAUUGACGCUGAGGAGCGAAAGCCAGGGGAGCAAACGGG